CUACAGAGGUAGUUGGAUAUUACCAUGUACAUACAGUGAUGUUUGUUUUAGUUUUUGUUCUGUGAGAGGCUGGUGGUUUUUGAAGCUUGUAUGUACAAUGGGCCGUUUAUGUAUUUAUAUGAGUUUUAGAUUUAGUAGCUCUUUACCUCUUAUUGUAGCUAUGUCUAUUUAUAGGUUUUGCUAUCGUUUCGUAUACACGAAAAAUUCCUAUGUAUAUAGCGGGUCUGUUGGCGUGUCCGGAGAAACGUGGUAAUACGAGGCGUGAC
rnacentral:lncRNA from 1 species